CUAAUGAGAGACAGUGUGGUAGACCAUACAGGGUUUACUCAGGUGUGGUGCUAAUGAGAGACAGUGUGGUAGACCAUACAGUUGUUACUCAGGGUGUGGUGCUAAUGAGAGACAGUGUGGUAGACCAUACAGGUUGUUACUCAGGGUGUGUGCUAGAUGAGACAGUGGUAGACCAUACGGUGUUACUCAGUGUGGUCUAAUGAGAGACAGUGUAGUAGACAUACAGGUUGUUACUCAGGUGUGGUGCUAAUGAGAGACAUGUGGAAGACCAUACAGGUUGUUACUCAGGGUGUGGUGCUAAUGAGAGACAGUGGGGAAGACCAUACAGGUUGUUACUCAGGGUGUGGUGCUAAUGAGAGACAGUGUGGUAGACCAUACAGGUUGUUACUCCAGGGUGUGGUGUGCUGUGGUCAAUGUCAGGGUGUGGUGUGCCGUGGUCAAUGAAAAACAGAUGUAAAACCAGCAAACAACUGGAAAACUGGACAAGCUUUUUUCAACUACAGUAGGUAUAAUGAA
rnacentral:lncRNA from 1 species